rnacentral:lncRNA from 1 species
GUCUAGUGCUUCUGCUAGCUUUAUUAUUAGUUGUGUGAUUUUUCUUAAUUGAAAAAAAGAAAAGAAGGGAGGAUAGAAGGAAGGGAGGAAGAAAGAAAAAAGAAGAAAAGAGAAAUAUCCCACCAAUUCAAGUCGAAACGUAUUCUCUUCCUGUCUCUCUAUCUUCUCCAAGCUCUGAAAAGUCUUGUCCUGGAUCCAGUUCACACGUACAGGUGGUGAGGCAGGAGGGAAUAUCCGCCUGAAUUCAAGACCAGGAGUGGGUGAACAUAUUCCUUCUGAUUUGCCAUCAUCUCCAGGAAAUUGCUGUGGUCU